UACGUAGGGGGCUAGCGUUGUCCGGAUUUAUUGGGCGUAAAGAGCGUGUAGGCGGCUAGAUAGGUCCGUUGUGAAAACUCGAGGCUCAACCUCGAGACGCCGGUGGAAACCAUCUAGCUAGAGUCCGGAAGAGGAGAGUGGAAUUCCUGGUGUAGCGGUGAAAUGCGCAGAUAUCAGGAAGAACACCCGUGGCGAAGGCGGCUCUCUGGUACGUGACUGACGCUGAGACGCGAAAGCGUGGGGAGCGAACAGG
rnacentral:rRNA from 1 species